AGCCAUGAUUGGACCGUGGGAGGAGUCAGCGAGAAGCUGCCCCCUCCUACGCUUUAAACUCUUUCCCUUUGGAGGCCAUACAGAAUUAUUGGUGCCUGGAGAAACAAUAAUGAAAUCUGGGAUUUUCGGAACAGCCCCGCCUCUUUUCGGAAGACCUAGGUUUAAGUUCUGCCUACGACUAGUUCUGCUCCAGUGACCUAAAGAAAUUUACCAAACCUUUCAAGUGUCUGAGCAGACAUUUAUAGCAUUGGAAACUGAAGAAAGACUAACUUUAUUUCAGCAAUGCAAUGAUCCAGGACAAUCCAGAGGAAUUUAUGAGAAAGAAUGCUAUCCACAUGCAGAGGAAGAACUGGAGGAGCAGAAAGGCAGAAGAAGAACAUAUGAUCGAUCACAUGGUUUGAUGGGGAUAUGUUUAGGGUUUUGGCAUUAAAAGAUUCUUCUAUUGAAAAUAUGAAUAAUAUAGAAAUAGGUUUUGAACAACGAUAUAUAUAAUCCAGUGGAAUUGCUCGUCAGCUCUGGGAGGGGAGAAGCAAGAGGGGAGAGAAAGAACAGGAAUCUUGUAACCAUGGAAAAAUAUUCUAAAUAAAUAAACUAAUAAAAAAUAAAACAUAGAUGGAUAUGUCAGUUAGAUUUGUGAAGCUAUCCUAAAAGUCCAUAGACUAAGGUUUGUUUUUUUUUUUUAAAGCAAUUUUAGGGAAAGAUAUCAAUGCUAACCUAGACCAGGAAAGCAGAUCUUUCAGAGAAAAUGCUGUGAGAACUAGCAUGAUUCCAGAAGGACUAAAACUAUGAUAGCACUAUAAGAUGUCCCCAGAAAUCAGACACUACAUCAUGAGAUUGAGUGAUCCUUUGGAUAUAAUGAACUGAACUAUGGGGGUUAAACCCUACAUCAACUUCUCUCCUUUACAUGUGUUGAUAUUCUAUUUUGAUUGUAAAAUGCUUGUGUCAGAAAAGUGGAAUGUUCCAUAAUAAUUCCUCUUUGUGUCCAUCCACUAUUUUUAAUAUGUUAACAAACACCUAAAUGCAAUUAGAAAUAUAUAAUAUCUUUGGGCCCUUGUAUAUCCUGAUGAGACAAUCCUGAAAUGCAUAGAUAGUAUAUAUGGAAUGAUUCAUUCAGAAAACUAACAUAUUUCCCUAUGAAUCAGAAGGGGAUCCAUGAGAAUGUAAUUUUAGCCUGCACCCCUUUUCUUUUUCUUGGUAUCCUAAGAUUGACUUAUUAAAAAAAGAAAGUUUCAUUUUGAGUUUGAAAAUAGCCAUUCUCUAAUUAAAUUAGGUUACAAUUCAGCUCUACCCUUUAAUUGAACAAGGCUUAAUUAAGAACAAGGCUUCAGACUUACAUGUCAACUUAAGGGGAACCCAAGUGCAUUCUGGGGAGAUGACAGAAGGCUUGUGGCUCCCUGCACCCUGGAAGAUACUUGCCUCUUUUCCCAUGUGACUCCUGAUGCUGGAAGAACUGCUUCUGAUCUGGUCUGAAGUUGGAGUCUGCCAAAUCAGAGGGAUUUUUGGCAAGAAUUUCAGAGUGAAACAAUGUUAGUGGGCCUGGCUCUGGAGUCUGGUGAAGGUUUGGUAAGGAAUUAACCAACCAUACAUGAUGAGAAGCCUUUUCUUUCUCUGAUCUGCUCUUUUAAUUAAUUUAAUAAUAAUUAUAAAUUAAGACACAGUUUCCAGAGAAUUUUAAUCUUAACAGAUUGGGUAUGCAAGAAACAUAGUAUGAAUACGCAGUGUCUGCAAUGAAGAGUAAAAGAAAGGAUAUCAAGUAUAAGAGUGCUGGGAAGAUAAAAUGCCAGGUUAUUGGGCUUGGAUUAUGUUUUAGUAAUUGCUGAAAAUUCUCUGGAUGGAUUGAGCCUUCACAUAGCAUGACUAUUGCCUUAAUAAUUACAAAGAAACUAUUAAAUUAUAUCUUUUUUGUUUUGUGAUUCCUUCAGAUAUCAAAUGACAGAGGGAGCCAUUUUAUAGAUCAUAUAUAUACUUAGCUCCAGUGUAGCUUAGAUUCUAAGCCUCCUUCUUCCUUCCUAACCAACAGAUAACUCCUGAAAUGCAAUAAGUUGACCCUCAUUGUCUAUUUUUUUAGACAAAAUGGGAGUUCUGGAGAGGGAAAAGAUCAACUCCAUGUGGAAGUAAAUUUGACAUUUAGACUAUUUGCUUCCACUUGUCCUCCUUAAGCCAAGCUAGAGCAGCACUUCCUACCAUACAAAUGAGCCUUGGACCCCCAUAACUGGGACUUUUAGAAUACAUGCCUCUAGUUCUUGGGGUAGCUAAUCCAUCCUUCUUUGCAAUUUUUGUCCUAUGGACUUAUACUGUUAAGAAGUAUAUGAAAACUAGGCCUUUCAGCCCAAUAUUCCUACCAAUUGGAAGAAGUCAUCAGUUUCAUAUCUCAUCCAGAUGCCCACCUAGGUCAUCUCAUAAUCUUAUUGCCACUGAAUGUCCCUGCUCAAAUUUUCUACUGUUUUAGAACAAAACUCCCUUCUUAAUCACCAGUCACAGUUAGGUUUUACCUUUUUAUUUCUCCAUAUUUAAAUAUAAGAUCCUUGAGAUCAGGAAGACUUUCUAGAUAUCUCUCUCUCUCAUUUAAAAAAAUGUGUCCCUAGCAUAUGUAACAGUGUUUGUUACAUAGUGUUUGACUUAUUUUAAUUCAUUCGCAUGAAUGUAUACAAAGCACAUAUGCUUAAAUGGUAUAUGAUGUCAGUUGAAGACCUCUAACAAUUCAGAUCACAACCCAUCCACAUCUGUCCAUCCUAUACAAUUCUCAAUCUUAUAUUACAUAAAAUUUAUCAAGUAGGGUCUGCCCAGUGUUCUGGAGGCCUUCCUCACUUUCUCUGGACAUCAAGAAGGUGCCAUUAGAAUACUCUGUCAUCCCUUGCUCUUGCCAUAUGACCAUCGAAUCAUUUUUUUCCUUUUUUCUUUUUAUAAAAAACCUUUGCCUUCCAUCUUAGCAUCAAUACUGUGUAUUGGUUCCAAGGCAGAAGAGUGGUAAGGACUAAGCAAUGGGGGUUAAAUGAUUUGCCCAGAGUCACACAGGUAGGAAGUGUCUGUGGGCACAUUUGAAUCCAGGAUUUCCCAUCUCUCAUUCUGACUGUCAAUGCACUGAACCACCUAGCUGCCCCAUAUUUAUUUCUAUCAUACAGCUCUUGAUGAACUGUUUUUCUCCAGUGUUCCUUGUUCAUAAAACGUGGAAGCCUGUUCACCCUCAAGACAUACCUUUCUGUUGUCCCCUGGUUGAUACUUUUUUUUUUUCAGAAUAAGUGGUGAUCCUGUUCUUACACCCCUAUAGCAAAAAAUAAAAAAAAAAGCUUGUGUUGAAGAGAUAGGAAAUGUGUGGUGUUUUAAAAUGUCCCAAAGCAGUCAACCCCUAUUUUUUUCUUCCUUUUUAAUUCCCAGCCAAGCUUAUUUUCCAUGGAUAUUAUCUAUCUGAUAUCAGAUAUCUAUCUGAAAUAUAUAUACUGCUGGACACGUUCUCUAAAGUGUCCGUUCAGAAGUAAACCAAAAUUUGAGCAGUGGGUAUUAUCCAUCUGUUUGAUCAUUCCUAUGUGGAUAGAGAUUAGGGUUACAUAUGAAUUAUUGAGAGAUAGAUUUUGCCUCACACUGCUUCUGUUAUGAAUAUAAUCUAUACAAAUAAAUACAAAGUACUUAAAUAUAAGGAGGGAAGGUAUUUGAAGUAGUCAAAUGUCAUACCUAGGUCAAUGCUAUUUCAUAUUUUAAUUUUAUCUUUUUUUAAAAUGAAUUUGACAGUAAGUAUGAACAUCUCCAUUGUAAAGAUUAAAAUUUAGGGAUAUGGGGAGAGACUAUGGCAGGUAGAAAUUAGUUUCUCUCUGCAAGGAGUAUUAUAUUUUUUAGAGGUUUAUUAAAGGUUAAAGAUUAAAGAAAAUACAGAAUAAGAAAAAACACGUGCCUAGGCCAGAGGCCUAGGCAAGAUAACCUCACAUCCCGGAAGGGACGCAUCUGCUCCAAAAUGGAAGUCCAAAAGAGACUCAAAAGCCUUUGUAAUCAGUUUAAAUACUUUCUCAAUCUCGCCCACCUCAGAAUUCCGUGGGAUUACAAAGCUUUUUGGGGAAGUGGAGCAAGGGCGUGUGGGGAUUGAAGUCCAGAGUUCAAAUCUCAAUUUUACAUCCCUCCAUUUGAUCCUCUGGGAAGAAGUCCUUCCCCAAAGGAUCAUAAAAACAUAAUCAAUUUAAAGAUUACAAUAAUUUGAGGAUAAGAGAAAAAAAAAGAAUAAAACCAAUAAUUGCUAGAUGCCUUGACAAAAAAACAGUUAGGGGGCAGUCCCCUUUGGCAUGAAAGUAUACAUACAAAUAAAUGUUCAAUCAACCACACCCAAAGUUCAAUUUUGUGCAACUUGUGGUCUGGAGGCUUCUUCAUGGUGGCUUCUCCAACAGUUCUGGAUUCAGAGAGGUAGAAUCUUCUUUACCUAAAAUUCUUCUCAAAAGGAAUUUAAACUUUGCAAUUUAAAUAAUGAUUUUUUUUUUACAUUCCCCCCGUUAAGAGGGUGAUUAAAAAAAAAAAAAACAGGAUCACUUAGGGAAGCAUGGCUGAGGUAUGAGGUAUAUGAAUCAAUUGGUAAGAGAUAUUAAAAGAUAUCAGAAAAAUUAAAAAGAAAAGAAAAAAUUUCUGGAUGAAAAUAUAGACUACCAAAGUCUUAUGUGUAAAAAUUCCAAGUAAAAGAAAAAUAAAUCUAUAACUGGUCCUUCAAUCAGGGCCCAAUCAAAAUGAUCUAAGCAAUGAUGAUUUACCCAGUCAAUAGCCAGGACUACAGAAAGGUACCACACUAUGAGAGGCAGAAAAGAAAGGGACCAGAUUAUAGAAGCCAAGUGGGAGCCAAGUUUGGGGAUACUCUUCUGUUUCUUCAGAGUGAGGGUGGACACAAGGAAAGCCUAUGUCUUAACACAUGUUAAACAUAGUAACCUUGAGUCUUCACACUAGAUUCAAGACCUUUGUAUUGGCCUAGAAGUGCAUCAAUCCAUCCUGGAUUGGCUUUUCUUUGGCUCUGUGUGAUGGCUCUUUUGUGUAUAUCUUGUCCUGGAAUCAGACAGAAUCAUUAAGCAAAGUCCCAUAAUUUAUUUAAAUAAUUAGUGGCAUCAUUUUUAUAGUCACAAGCUUUUUUGGGCAUGCAUUAGCAAAUGUAUUUCAAACUUGUAGCACUGAAAAGUCAAAAAGUUAAAGAAAAUCUUAAUGCUGGUGACAUGUGCUUCAAAUAUAAAAAGGAGAGAAAAAAUAAUUUAAAAAACUGAAAAAGUAUAUUGCACAUGCAAGAAAAAUAUAAUAAUAAAAGAGCUUUAAAAAAUUCAAAAAUAUAGCUUAUAAUUAUUGACACUCUGUGUCAGCUAAGAAAAUAUAAAAUGCAAUGCUUUCUCACCAAAAAUGAGAUCCAUUUCCUCUUAAUAUAUGGCCAUGAUCACUGUGAGUAGAAGGCAAAUGAAUUGAACAAGGUUAACAAUUUUUUCAUUUUUAAAAAUACAGUAGUGCAAAUAUGUAGUUAUCAAAAUCCCCAAAAUUCUCAAUAGCCCAAUUAAUUACAAUAGCAAACAAAAACAAUUUCAUAUUUCACGUAAGUUGCUGUAUGACAUUUUUAAAACCUAUGAAUUGAUGGACAUUUGUCACAAUUUUUACAAACAUAGCCAUCUUUCAACCUUGGUAUUUAAACAUAUUUUUUAAACAAAGUAAAACUCAUCUUGGGUUUAGAACAUAAUCAAGAAAUCUAUAUAUCAUUCUGGUACAAGUAAAGUAGUGAGCCGAAGAGUAUAAAUAAAGGGGUGCUCCUUUUGGAGGCUUUUUAAGGGCACAAAUGCCCUGAAAUUAACUGCCCAACUUCCAUUCACAUGUGGGAAGGUUGGGGUUUAUAAAAUACAUUUCACUUCAGCUACUAGAAUGGGCCUUACCUUGUGGUAGGGGCAGGCAAAAAUAACCAGAGAUUGUUAAAAAAAAUUCCAAAAAUCAUAUUUAAAAAACCCUUAAAAUCAUUUGAGGUAUUUAGCACAUUAAAUUUUCCUAAGGUUGUUAUACAAUUAUAACCAGUCCUGAAGUCCAUCUAUGUGAUAAUUUACAAAGUCAAAAUAGAAAGGCUGGUUUUUUUUUUCAUAAGGGCUUAAUUACAAUAAUAUUUGUUCAGCACAGUUAUAGGGGAAAAACAACAGAAUUUCAAAACUCAGUACAUUCAAAAUAAAUUCAAUCAACCUUCAGUUCAAGCAGAAUAAUAUUGAAUCCAGUAAUAUAUGAACUUAAAAUCACAAAGUUAAACCAUAACAAAAAAUGCAAUAGAAUACAGAGAUUUUUAUAAACCAUUGGAGUCUGAAAUGCCUUAGAAUAUAGCCUUUAGUCUCUUCAAAGUUCCUUGAGUAUCGCUCACAUACAGUACUUCUUCUGGUGACAUCAUCCUUUGUGUGGUGCCUUGUUCUGAGAGUAACUAGUGAGAACGAGGCACCAUGCAAAGAAUUAUGUGGCUGCACAAUGGAAGAGGUCAGCAUGGUGAGCAGCGAUCUGGGGGAGGGGAUUCUGCACUGUGUAUACUGCUGCCCUGUAUAGUGGUGGCUGUGCUGCGCCUGUGCAAGGUGUGACAGGCCCAUCACAGACAGCGCUGUAGCCUCCGCUAUCCCAGACAGUGGUAUACAAUGUCACAGGCCCAGCACCACCUCCAGUACUAUAUACAGGCACCGGAUAGCAGCGAUCUGGCCUGUGACAUCAGCAACCAUCUUUGGCAGCACUUAUGUCUGUGAACAGACUUUUUCCAGAAUGAAACAUCUGAAAUCUCCAAGCAGAUCUGGACUAACUGAUGCACACUUGCAUCACUUGUUAAGGCUAACAAUGACAAAUAUGGAACCGGACAUUGACCAUCUCAUUAGCCAAAAGCAGGCCCAUAGUUCCCAUUGAAAUACUGGUCAGUUUGUUGAUUUAAAUUUACUUGUUUUUAUUUUAAAUAUUUCAUUUGUUCCCGUUUUGGUUUUUCAUUUUAAAAUAAGAUAUGUGCAGUGUGCAUAGGGAUUUGUUCAUAGUUUUUUUUGUUUGUUUGUUUUUGUUUUUGUUUUUUAAUAAUCCAGCCCUCCAACAGUCUGAGGGACAGUGAACUGGCCCCCUGUAUAAAAAGUUUGGGACUUCCGGGUAAUCAUGGCUGCAAUCUAGACGCGGCACGCUUCCUCUCCCCAGCACCGAACGAAAUAGACUACAUCAAAGGAGCAUAAAAUCACCUUUGGAGGAACAGAAGGACUCCCCAGUACCCCACAGAGGCAAAGGUACGUGGGGCUUGAACAUUUCAACACUAAAAUAAGAAGGAAAAGCUUGCACAGAAAAGUGAACUGAGCCGCCCUUCCCCCACCCCACCUCCCCCACUAAACCAGAGUGAGCUACCUGAGCGCUCACCGGGACAGCGAGUGAGUGGGGAGCGUCUCUGUCUGGGGGGGCACUCCAGGGUCCUUGGGAUCUGGGGACUGCCAGGAAAAAACGUCUCAGGGCGCUUUCACUGGAGAAGCCAGCGGACUUCGGGCGGGCUGCGCUGAACAAGGCGCGCUGAUUAUCUGGGCGGAGCUGAAUACCUGGGCUCAGCUGAAUACCUGGGCUCGGAGGCUGGGAAGAACUAGUCUGAAGCAACCUAAAUUCACAGAAAAACCACUCUUAUAACCCAGACCCCAGACCAAAAAGGAAAGGGAAAUAAAACCACCAAAGGGAUGGCUCACAUGGCCCAAAAUCAAGCCUCCAGGAAGAAAGGGAAAAAAGUGACUAUUGAAAACUUUUAUGGUGGAAGUACCCAAGGAAAAGAGGAGAAUGAGGAGGAAAUCCAAAAAAAU